rnacentral:rRNA from 1 species
CUUGAUAAACUUAUAAGAGGUCCAGCCUGCCCAGUGACUCUGUUUAACGGCCGCGGUAUCCUAACCGUGCGAAGGUAGCGUAAUCACUUGUUCUUUAAAUGAGGACUAGUAUGAAUGGCACCACGAAGGUUAUACUGUCUCCUUUUUCUAAUCAGUGAAACUAAUCUUCCCGUGAAGAAGCGGGAAUAAAAAUAUAAGACGAGAAGACCCUAUGGAGCUUUAAACAAAUAUACACCUGCCUUCCAAUUAAAAAAUUUCAGUAGACAAAUAAUUACCCAGGCAUUUUGAUAUAGCGUUUUAGGUUGGGGUGACCGCGGAGCAAAAAACAACCUCCGCAACGAACGGGAAAUCUUUCCCUAAACCAAGGGCCACGACCCCAAGUAUCGAUAAAUCGACACUAAUUGACCCAAUAAAUUUGAUCAAUGAAC